rnacentral:rRNA from 1 species
UGGGGGAUAUUGCACAAUGGGCGCAAGCCUGAUGCAGCGACGCCGCGUGGGGGAUGAAGGCCUUCGGGUUGUAAACUUCUUUUGCUCUGAACAAGGCGCACUUUGGGGUGUGUUGAGUGUAGGGGUUGAUUAGCGCCGGCUAACUACGUGCCAGCAGCCGCGGUAAUACGUCGGGCGCGAGCGUUGUCCGGAAUUAUUGGGCGUAAAGGGCUUGUAGGUGGCUGGUUGCGUCUGUCGUGAAGGCUCAUGGCUUAACUGUGGGUUUGCGGUGGGUACGGGCUGGCUUGAGUGCAGUAGGGGAGGCUGGAAUUCCUGGUGUAGCGGUGGAAUGCGCAGAUAUCAGGAGGAAUACCGGUGGCGAAGGCGGGUCUCUGGGCUGUUACUGACACUGAGGAGCGAAAGCAUGGGGAGCGAACAGG